CAUUAUUUCAUCAUUUCAUUAUUUCAUCUCAUUUCAUUAUUUCAUUUCAUUAUGUCAUUUCAUUUCAUCUCAUUACAUUUCAUCUCAUUUCAUCUCAUCAUUUCAUCUCAUCAUUUCAUCUUAUCAUCUCAUCAACUCUUUUCAUCUUAUCAUUUCAUCAUUUCAUCUUAUCACUUCAUUUCAUCUCGUAUCUUCUCAUCUCAUUUCAAUUUCAUUUCAUUAUUUCAUUUCAUUAUUUCAUGUCAUCUCAUCAUUUCAUCUCAUCA
rnacentral:lncRNA from 1 species